rnacentral:rRNA from 1 species
GACAGAGGUGCCGAGCGUUAGGCGGAAUCACUGGGCUUAAAGCGUGUGUAGGCGGGCCGUUAAGUAUCUUGUGAAAUCCCCCGGCUCAACCGGGGAAUGGCUGGAUAUACUGGCGGUCUUGAGCGAUCUAGGGGCAGAUGGAACAGACGGUGGAGCGGUGAAAUGCGUAGAUAUCGUCUGGAACGCCAAAGGUGAAGACAGUCUGCUGGGGAUCUGCUGACGCUGAGACACGAAAGCCAGGGGAG